rnacentral:rRNA from 1 species
AUUGAACGCUGGCGGCAGGCCUAACACAUGCAAGUCGAACGGUAACAGGAAGAAGCUUGCUUCUUUGCUGACGAGUGGCGGACGGGUGAGUAAUGUCUGGGAAACUGCCUGAUGGAGGGGGAUAACUACUGGAAACGGUAGCUAAUACCGCAUAACGUCGCAAGACCAAAGAGGGGUACUUUCGGGCCUCUUGCCAUCGGAUGUGCCCAGAUGGGAUUAGCUAGUAGGUGGGGUAACGGCUCACCUAGGCGACGAUCCCUAGCUGGUCUGAGAGGAUGACCAGCCACACUGGAACUGAGACACGGUCCAGACUCCUACGGGAGGCAGCAGUGGGGAAUAUUGCACAAUGGGCGAAAGCCUGAUGCAGCCAUGCCGCGUGUAUGAAGAAGGCCUUCGGGUUGUAAAGUACUUUUAGCGGGGAGGAAGGGAGUAAAGUUAAUACCUUUGCUCAUUGACGUUACCCGAAGAAGAAGCCCCGGCUAACUCCGUG